rnacentral:rRNA from 1 species
UGGGGAAUAUUGGACAAUGGGCGAAAGCCUGAUCCAGCCAUGCCGCGUGUGUGAAGAAGGUCUUCGGAUUGUAAAGCACUUUAAGUUGGGAGGAAGGGCAUUAACCUAAUACGUUAGUGUUUUGACGUUACCGACAGAAUAAGCACCGGCUAACUCUGUGCCAGCAGCCGCGGUAAUACAGAGGGUGCAAGCGUUAAUCGGAAUUACUGGGCGUAAAGCGCGCGUAGGUGGUUUGUUAAGUUGGAUGUGAAAGCGCCGGGCUCAACCUGGGAACUGCAUCCAAAACUGGCAAGCUAGAGUACGGUAGAGGGUGGUGGAAUUUCCUGUGUAGCGGUGAAAUGCGUAGAUAUAGGAAGGAACACCAGUGGCGAAGGCGACCACCUGGACUGAUACUGACACUGAGGUGCGAAAGCGUGGGGAGCAAACA